CCAGCCUCGGAUACGGCGGCGGAGAGGUCUGCGCACGCUGCCGCGACGUCGUCUACUUCGCCGAGAGGCAGGUGGGCACCGCCGGGCGCGUGUACCACGUGCGCUGCUUCCGGUGCCGGGCGUGCGAGCAGCGGCUGGCCUCAGGCUCCUACCGAUCGGACGGCGGAGAGCUCUACUGCGAGCCCUGCCACCGACGGCACCUGGGACCCAGGGGCUACGGCUACGGGCUCGGCUCAGCGCUGCGAUGCUUCCCGGGACGCCUCUGAAGGCGCCGUGCAGGGAAGCAGCAACCUCAAGGCC
rnacentral:lncRNA from 1 species